GUUGUGGCUCAGGGAUAGAGCGCUCGCCUAGCACGUGUGAGGCCCUGGGUUUGAUCCUCAGGACAACA
rnacentral:tRNA from 1 species